rnacentral:rRNA from 1 species
GAUGAACGCUGGCGGCGUGCCUAAUACAUGCAAGUCGAGCGAACAGACGAGGAGCUUGCUCCUCUGACGUUAGCGGCGGACGGGUGAGUAACACGUGGAUAACCUACCUAUAAGACUGGGAUAACUUCGGGAAACCGGAGCUAAUACCGGAUAAUAUAUUGAACCGCAUGGUUCAAUAGUGAAAGACGGUUUUGCUGUCACUUAUAGAUGGAUCCGCGCCGCAUUAGCUAGUUGGUAAGGUAACGGCUUACCAAGGCGACGAUGCGUAGCCGACCUGAGAGGGUGAUCGGCCACACGGGAACUGAGACACGGUCCAGACUCCUACGGGAAGCAGCAGUAGGGAAUCUUCCGCAAUGGGCGAAAGCCUGACGGAGCAACGCCGCGUGAGUGAUGAAGGUCUUCGGAUCGUAAAACUCUGUUAUUAGGGAAGAACAAAUGUGUAAGUAACUAUGCACGUCUUGACGGUACCUAAUCAGAAAGCCACGGCUAACUACGUG